CCCGCAUAACUUCCUCACGCUAUCCAAAUUGGAGGAAUGCGUUAAAGGCUUCGAAAAAUUUGGCUUCCCACAAUGCUUAGGCGCGAUUGAUGGCUGUCAUAUUGAAAUUCAUCCAUCUGCAGCUGAUGCAGCUGACUAUUUUAAUUAUAAAGGCUGGUACUCAACUAUAUUGUUUGCAAUGGUUGAUGCUCGAUACAUAUUUCUUUAUAUAAACGUUGGAGGCCCAGGGCGUUGUCAUGACUCCCAAAUUUUUGAGCGAAGUAGGCUACGUCAAUUAUUAGAUGAGUCGACACUAUUAAAGAAUAACCUGCGCAUUAUUUCGGGAGUCGAUGUGCCUGUUGUGGUGAUUGGUGAUUCAGCUUUCAAAUUUUCGGCUCAAGUGAUGAAGCCAUAUGCUUUUUCAAAUACUGAAAAUGAAACUAUGAAGGCUUUUAAUUAUACUUUAGCCAAAUCACGCAGGGUGGUCGAAAAUGCUUUCGGCCAUUUAAAAGCUCGAUUUCGGCGAAUCGGGAAAGGCCUUGAUAACCAUUACAGUAAAACGGCUGUUGUUAUUACAGCAUGUUGCAUCUUACAUAAUUUCACCAAACGUGAAAACAUUGAUAUUCCGGGAAUUUUGGAACCAAGCCCCGAUGAUCCACACCAGCCCGAGAAAUCUGAUGAAGACGACUAUGAAACAAUUGAUUUCGAUAGCGACGCUGAGCCAAUUCGUUCAGAAAUUUCAUCAUACAUUGUAAACAAUAAAUAACUGAAAUAUAAAGAAUUUGUGUGUAAC